GCGCGAUUAGCUCAGCGGGAGAGCGCUUCCCUGACACGGAAGAGGUCACUGGUUCGAUCCCAGUAUCGCGCACCG
rnacentral:tRNA from 1 species